rnacentral:tRNA from 1 species
GUUUUAUAGUUUAAAUAAAACAUUAAAUUGCAAAUUUAACAAUAGAUUCAAUUUGUUCUUAAAACCUU